GGAGAUAAAGAGUGAUGAGAGAGGGGGAGAGAAAGAGAGAAAUGGGAAAACAGAUGCUGCUUCACUCAACCAACGUCUCCCUUUUAUAAGCUGAGAGAUCCGUGUUGUACAAACUCAACCCAUGUCAUAGCAUCACAGAACGAGAGAGUUGGAAGGGGCCUUGGAGGUCAUCCAGUCCAACCAUCCAUUCCCAGUCCACUGUACGGAAAGACCUCAAUUUACAACGACUAUCGGGGACCAGAAUUUCCAUCGCUAAGCAAAGUGAAUACGCGAAAUGACUGGUGUCCGAUUUUACAAGCUUGUUUUGGGCUUGUUAGUGCAGUUGUGAAAAAGGAACCACAAAGUCCUUCCAUGAACCCAGCUUCUCCUGUUGACUUCACCAGUCGGAAGCCGGCUGGGAAGGGGGAAAACGGCAAGCCGCGGUCUGGUGCGCAUGUACCGGCCUAGGAGAGAGAUGCC